CAAGUGAUUAAGAGGAAUGAAAGCUUUGAAGAUAUAUUUGUGCAGAUGUUUUUAGCUGGCUUUGGAGUGCUUAAUUGCUGGCCCAUCUAUGAAGCCAUGUUAUUGAGAAGGGAUAAAGGAAGGAUGCCAUUAAAGAUAACUUUAUUAUCAACCUUCCUAGCAUGGCUUGUUUAUCUGAUAUCCUCUUCAGCCUUUUGAAAACUAGUAUUGUUUUGUAUCUUGAUUCUAGGACAAUGCUCUCCGGGUGGAGAUAGUAUCGUUUUGUGCAAUUCUUGUAUUGUAUCUUCAAGAUCAUACUACAAUACUUGAGUAUCGUCUCUUUUAUAUAUACAUUUUAAAUAAAUUAGGGUCAUUAUAUUUUUUUUCUUAUGUUCUGUUGGAUGUUAUGGAUAAAUAGAUGUUCAUAUUUGAUUUGAUUGAAUUUUGAAACGUACCAUAGGAGCGUUUCAAUUCAACCUUUCUCAAAGCAAUCUAUUUGUAUUCAUAUAAGCAGCGAGCAUGCUAUUAACUAUGUCAGCUGCGUUCAGUUUCAGACUCCAAUUACUAUCAAGUCACCGGGCAGAAAGACGUGGCCAUUCCUUUUAGCAGUGUUUACACCAUUUUAGAGUUUUGGUGUUGGGUUGGAGAUGAUAUCAUGCAUCUCUGCCUCUUUUAACACCUCUUCGACUGAUUUCCUUCUCAGACCCCCUCAUUUGCUUCUCUGGACUCUUUAAUUCAGUCUUUAAGAUUGCAAGGCAGUCUUCUACAGAGUCAGAAGUGCAAACCUUCAUAGAGAAGCUACAAACAAAGAACUAAUUCCAGUAACAGGUGUUCAAUAACUUGUGAAUUAAAUCUUAGAGAGUAAAGAAUGAACUCUCAAAAUGCAUCACAAGAAGUAGAAGCACUUUAAAAAAGCUGAGAAUGCUAACUUGUCUCUCACAACUUCUGAUUCUUUUCCAAACACUUUAUUAACUUAUUUAUUUCUAACGUCUACUCCACUUCUUUAAUUUAAUCAAGAAGUGACUUCUUUUAAGUUAACCCAAACGGCCCAAUAAUCUCUUAGAACGUCUCUCCAAGAAAUCUUGGUUAAAAUUCACUAAUACAUACCAUAAAUAAAAAUAGAGGCUAUGUACAAAACAAUUCAACUCCAAUGAGACCUUCCCCUUAUAUAUAAUUAUAGCCAACCUUUAUUGAUGUAGCAAGAUUUUACAUCAUUUAUUACUAUAUUAAAACAUUAUAUUAUAUUUACACAACUUGAAAUAAUAAUUAUACACUUUUUUAAAAUAUAGCCGAUCAAAAUAGUUAGUACCAUUAAAACACAAUAUUUUACAGGUUCCACAAAUUUUAUAUAAUAUCUUGCGAUCAAAUUUAACUAAUCAGUUACAGACUUAUAGUCAAUACUAUUAUACUAUUGUAGAUGCUAUUUAAUUAAUUAGUUAUAAUCAAUAGUAUUCUAGAUGCUAAAGUCCUGUUUACCAAGUAUUUUUUAACCAACACAAUUGCAGAUCCUCUUAUAAUUACAGUCUAUGAUUUGUUGGAAUUAGGAAUCGACGAUCACUUCAAGAUUUGGAAAUGUUAUACCCGCUCCAAUCUCCAAACGGAUACAAGCCGUCCCGAAUGAGGACUAGAGAUCUCUGCGGAGAUUCGAGAAAUUUGUCUUUUCUAAAAAAAAUUAUAUUAUAAUAUAUGAUCUUUGAUUAAAAUUAUUUUAGUAAGUUGUCAUAAUAUACAAUGUUUUUAGUUAUAUUUUGAGUACCAAUUCGAAUAAUACUCAUUUAUAAUAAAAAUAAAAGAGUAGAUUUAAUAUAAUUUGUUUGUAUUAUAAUAUGAAAUGAUUUAAUCAAUGUGAUGAAAGAGAUUAUUUAAAUUUUCAUAUAUAUAUAUAUAUAUAUAUAUAUAUAUAUAUAUUUAUCAUUAAUAUUUUGUAUAAUAUAAUAUACAUAAAUAUAUUCAUAUUAUAUAUGAAAAUCGGGAAAUUUCAAGACGGUUCGCGACCAGAAAAUAUUAAUUUUUGAAUCCGUCCCGAUCUCCGAAUUCUGGUAUAUAAUUUUUUUCCAAUCUCUAUCCCGUACUCGAGAGAAUCUCUUAUUUAUGAUUUCGUGCCGAACGGCCCGAACCUGAUAAACGAAAAAAUAGGUGGUCUUUUCUGGAAUCGAGCGGGACAGACUGGAUCGGGUCGGUCAGAUGGGACAGGGACACGUCCUCAGUUGACAUCAGGCUUAAAACUAGGGGUGUAAACAAACCAAACUGUUGGUGAGCUACUCGAGCUCGGCUCGUAAAAUAUUCGGAUUUGAUUCGGUAGUAAUCAAGCCGAGCUCGAGAUCGAGCUAUUUGGAUGUUUUACCGAGCUGAGCUCGAGCUUCAAAUUACUCGGCUCCUAAGGUUCGCGAGCCUUAUCGAGCCUCUACUAUUAUUUAAUCUUUUUUAUUAUAAAUAUAUUUUUACAAAUAUAUUUAAUAUUUUAUUUAUAAAUCAUAUAUUUAAUCGAAUCGAACUCGAGCCAAACCGAUCAUAUUUCGAGACGCUAUCAUUUUUUUGGUAGCUGAUUCCAUUCUGGCAUUUAUGUGGACAACACGGCAAGCAUUUCGCAUCUCGCCCAUCCGUCGCCAGGUAUUUCCCGAGAACCUGACAGCGGAUGAGAGUGAAUAUCCAGCUCUGGACGUGUUUGUAUGCACUGCUGAUCCAUUCAGGGAGCCACCAAUAGGUGUGGUGAACACCGUCUUGUCCCUGAUGGCUUACGAUUAUCCGAAGGAGAAAUUGUCAGUUUAUGUAUCGGAUGAUGGAGGAUCACAGCUCACACUGUUUGCUCUGAGGGAAGCUGCUGAGUUUGCUAAACAUUGGCUUCCGUACUGCAAGAAAGAGAACAUACUUGAUAGGUCGCCCGAAGCAUAUUUUACAUCACAGACUAAUUUUGGUUUCCCAGAGACCGGUCCUGCUGCUACAAAACAUGAUCAAAUUAAGGUACUUCUCAGCUACCCAUCUCAACAAUUUUUAACUUUUUUUGAAAUUUAUUUAUGAUGACUCACGGAUUGUUGAAGGUUAUGUACGAAAGGAUGAAAUUGAGGAUAAAUGAAGUUGUCGAAAGAGGGAGCAUCCAUGGAUAUGUGACAGAUGAAGAAGUGCGCGGAACUUUUGCUGUAUGGCAUAAUACACCUGGUUUCACUCCCAAAAAUCAUCCUACUAUUAUUCAGGUUCAUUCUUAGUCUGUUUUCUAAUUAAUAAUUUGAAUUUUAAAUUUGUACAGAAUCAUCUAAUAACUGAGCUAGAAUUUUUCAAUUAAAGACAGGAAAAAAGAAUAAUCGGAUUUACUAGGCUACAACGAAUCUAGCUUUUCUGAGUAGUUUCCUGAAGGCUAUCAAAUUAUUGAACUUGAAUCUCUUAUCUUUCAUAGUUAUUGUUAUUAGUACUUACUCCGUGCUGAAUAAACCUGUAGCAAAGUUUGAUCCCAACCCCGAUCCGUAGUAAAUCAGAAUAUAUUGCUUCAAUAUGGAAAACAGGAUGAGUAAUAGAUACUAGCAUAUUUAUAACUAUAAAAAUUAGUACCAAUUAUAGAACUAAUGAUGAGGAUCUUGCAGAUAAUCAUGGAGAGCGCCACUGAAAAGGAUGAGUCCGGUAACAGAAUGCCCAAUCUUGUGUAUGUGUCCAGAGAAAAGAAGAAGACUACACCCCACAACUACAAGGCUGGUGCGCUCAACGUUCUGGUAAUAAUGUUUAUAAUUGUGUUGAUCAUACACAUAUAUAGGUAAACAGAAAGUUAAUUUUCAUUUCUUGUUUAUUUCACAUAUUUAACAUAUUAAUGCAUAAUAAAGCUUCGAGUAUCAGCAACCAUGACAAAUGCACCGCUGGUGUUGACGCAAGACUGUGACAUGUUUUCAAAUGAUCCUAAGACACCACUCCGUGCACUCUGCUACUUUAUGGACCCUGGAAUGGACCCGAACUUGGCGUUGGUCCAGUUCCCUCAAAUUUUCCAUGGGAUUAACAAGGAUGAUAUAUAUAAUGCUGAACUUAAAGAAAUGCUUGUCAAUAAUAAUUUGGGAAUGGAUGGUUUAUUAGGACCACCUUAUAUAGGUUCUGGGGGGUUUUUUCGUCGACAAGCUUUGUUUGGAACUCCAGUAUCACAUAUACCUCCCCAGCCUUCAGAAAUUAGUCCUCAUCAUGUUGUUAACAAGUCAAUGCAGUCCGCAGAGAUUUUGGCUCUGGCACACCAUGUUGGAGGCUGUAACUUUGAGGUUCAAACCGAGUGGGGAUCAGAGGUCAGACACUUUGGUACAUUUAUUAAUAAAAUUCACAUAUUACUUCGAACCAAAAUAUUAAAUAUUUAUUCUCUAAUUGUCGCAGAUGGGAUUUAGGUAUGGCUCUUUAGUGGAGGAUUUUAACACAGGCUACAGAAUGCAAUGCCAAGGAUGGAGAUCUGUUCUCUGCAAUCCAAUAAGACCAGCAUUCUUAGGAAGUUCACCAAUAACACUCCAUGACAUGCUCAAUCAAUGCAAAAGGUGGUCCAUGGGUCUUCUUGAUAUCACUUUUUCCAGAUAUAACCCUCUUUUCUUUGGUGUGCGGUUCAUGAACCCUCUCCAAGCCUUCUGCUUUGGACACUAUGCGAUUUGGCCCAUUUGGUCGAUUCCUCUUAUUAUCUAUUCCUUCUUGCCUCAGCUCGCUCUAAUCAAUUCUUCACAUGCUAUUUUCCCAAAGGUAAGCUAAAAACUGCACUACUACAGGGUCGAUCAAGUUCAAAUUUUGUAACGUGAAGAGUUGGUACACAGUAUAAAUAGGUAUUCAUAGUAGUUUAAUUAUUUUUGCUCUAAUUAUGAUGUCAGGUGACAGAUCCUUGGCUGUUUUUCUUGUAUGUGUUUCUUUUCCUUGGUUCAUAUGUGCAACAUCUUCUCGAAUAUGUUACAUUUGGAUCUCCAGCCAAAAGGUGGUGGAACAGUCAGAGAGUGUGGAUGAUGAGAGCACUUUCAAGCUUUCCAUUUGCAUUGAUUGAAUAUAUACUAGAAUGCUGGGGAGUAUCAUCGUUUGGGUUCAAUGUGACUAGCAAGGUACUUGAUAGUGAACAAAGCAAACGUAACGCAGAAUGUAUGUUUGAAUUCGGAGUGCCUUCUCCACUUUUUGUUCCAAUAAAUAUGGCGGCAAUGAUCAACUUGUGGGCGUUUUUACAUGGGAUAAAACAAGUGAUUAAGAGGAAUGAAAGCUUUGAAGAUAUAUUUGUGCAGAUGUUUUUAGCUGGCUUUGGAGUGCUUAAUUGCUGGCCCAUCUAUGAAGCCAUGUUAUUGAGAAGGGAUAAAGGAAGGAUGCCAUUAAAGAUAACUUUAUUAUCAACCUUCCUAGCAUGGCUUGUUUAUCUGAUAUCCUCUUCAGCCUUUUGAAAACUAGUAUUGUUUUGUAUCUUGAUUCUAGGACAAUGCUCUCCGGGUGGAGAUAGUAUCGUUUUGUGCAAUUCUUGUAUUGUAUCUU
rnacentral:lncRNA from 1 species